rnacentral:rRNA from 1 species
GAUGAACGCUGGCGGCGUGCCUAAUACAUGCAAGUCGAGCGAACGGACGAGAAGCUUGCUUCUCUGAUGUUAGCGGCGGACGGGUGAGUAACACGUGGAUAACCUACCUAUAAGACUGGGAUAACUUCGGGAAACCGGAGCUAAUACCGGAUGAUAUUUUGAACCGCAUGGUUCAAAAGUGAAAGACGGUCUUGCUGUCACUUAUAGAUGGAUCCGCGCUGCAUUAGCUAGUUGGUAAGGUAACGGCUUACCAAGGCAACGAUGCAUAGCCGACCUGAGAGCGAGAUCUGCCACACAGAGACUGAGACGCCGUUCAGGCACCUACGGCGGGCGGUAGCAGCGGAUCGUCCGCUAUAGGCGAAUGGCUAACGGAGUAACUCCCCGUGAGAGAUAGGGAUUUUCGGUGAGUGAAACUGUGUGCUGAGGGAAGAACAUAUGUGUAAGUGUCUAGGCAUAGCUAGACGGUGCCUGAUGAGUGCACCGCGGCUGACUAAGGG